rnacentral:rRNA from 1 species
AUUGAACGCUGGCGGCAGGCUUAACACAUGCAAGUCGAGCGGAGUGAUGGUGCUUGCACUAUUACUUAGCGGCGGACGGGUGAGUAAUGCUUAGGAAUCUGCCAUUUAGUGGGGGACAACAUUCCGAAAGGAAUGCUAAUACCGCAUACGUCCUACGGGAGAAAGCAGGGGAUCUUCGGACCUUGCGCUAAAUGAUGAGCCUAAGUCGGAUUAGCUAGUUGGUGGGGUAAAGGCCUACAAAGGCGACGAUCUGUAGCGGGUCUGAGAGGAUGGUCCGCCACACUGGGACUGAGACGCGGCCCAGACUCCUACGGGAGGCAGCAGUGGGGAAUAUUGGACAAGGGGCGGUAGCCUGAUCCAGCCAUGCCGCGUGUGUGAAGAAGGCCGUUUGGUUGUAAAGCACUUUAAGCGAGGAGGAGGCUACUAGUACUAAUACUACUGGAUAGUGGACGUUACUCGCAGAAUAAGCACCGGCUAACUCUGUGCCAGCCGCCGCAGUAAUAC